rnacentral:rRNA from 1 species
AGUUUGAUCCUGGCUCAGGACGAACGCUGGCGGCGUGCUUAACACAUGCAAGUCGAACGGAAAGGCCUCUUCGGAGGUACUCGAGUGGCGAACGGGUGAGUAACACGUGGGCAAUCUGCCCUGCACUUCGGGAUAAGCCUGGGAAACUGGGUCUAAUACCGGAUAGGACCUUUAGACGCAUGUCUUUUGGUGGAAAGCUUUUGCGGUGUGGGAUGGGCCCGCGGCCUAUCAGCUUGUUGGUGGGGUGAUGGCCUACCAAGGCGACGACGGGUAGCCGGCCUGAGAGGGUGUCCGGCCACACUGGGACUGAGAUACGGCCCAGACUCCUACGGGAGGCAGCAGUGGGGAAUAUUGCACAAUGGGCGCAAGCCUGAUGCAGCGACGCCGCGUGGGGGAUGACGGCCUUCGGGUUGUAAACCUCUUUCACCAUCGACGAAGGUCCGGGUUUUCUCGGAUUGACGGUAGGUGGAGAAGAAGCACCGGCCAACUACGUGCCAGCAGCCGCGGUAAUAC